GAUGAACGCUGGCGGCGUGCCUAAUACAUGCAAGUCGAGCGAACGGACGAGAAGCUUGCUUCUCUGAUGUUAGCGGCGGACGGGUGAGUAACACGUGGAUAACCUACCUAUAAGACUGGGAUAACUUCGGGAAACCGGAGCUAAUACCGGAGAAUAUUUUGCACCGCAUGGUUCAAAAGUGAAAGACGGUCUUGCUGUCACUUAUAGAUGGAUCCGCGCUGCAUUAGCUAGUUGGUAAGGUAACGGCUUACCAAGGCAACGAUGCAUAGCCGACCUGAGAGGGUGAUCGGCCACCCUGGAACUGAGCCGCCGUCCAGACUCCUACGGGAGGCAGCAGUAGGGAAUCUUCCGCAAUGGGCGAAAGCCUUACGGAGCAACGCCGCGUGAGUGAUGAAGGUCUUCGGAUCGUAAAGCUCUGUUAUUAGGGGAGAACAUAUUUGUAAUGAGCUGUGCACAUCGUGACGGUACCUAAUCAGAAAGCCACGGCUAACUACGUG
rnacentral:rRNA from 1 species